CUCUAUUCCAGUAGGAACUUUGGAAUACAGCAUCAGAAUGAUAAAAGCGCUAUAUGGAGAGAGACCAGAUAGAAGGGAAAUGAGAAUAAAGAAAGGCCUCCCACCUCUCUCUCCCUCCCCACUCACUGCCUUUUAUCUGUGUUGCAGGCUCUGAACCCUGGCUCCCCUCUAUACCCAGUUUGGGUGGCUCCUGGAAGUCAGGGUGAGAAGUGGUCGUAGCUAUGUCUGUGGCCCACAUGCGUGUUGAAAGUUAGAUAUCCACAUAGCCUCAUCAGCGGAGAUUCUGUUGAAGAGACCUGCUCAUGGAAGAACUACGUGAAGUUUCCCCAAACAUCAUGAUGUUUCAAGCCUCUGCCUGAUCAUCUCUUUAUUUGCCCGUUCAUCCACCCGUCCGUAUGUUCCAUCAGCUGCAAGGUGCUGGAGUCACCGCGGAUGCAGAGCCAGCCUCGCCCGGUUCUGUUUGCUGCAAGAGACACACAGUGAGAUGGCCCUGCCUACCUCGUGUCACUGCUCUGAGUGGUUACCGAAGUGUUGCACGUGGCUAACGUGGCAUCUGACACACAGCAGGCCCACAGUCCCUUUCUGCUGGUCUCCCGUGCCUGCAGACUGUGCUUCCUCUGUGCUGCCGCAGCGCCCAGCCUGGAGCUCUGUUGUAGGACUUACCUCCCCACACCAUGAUGGGCUCUUUCCUCUCUCACUUGUUCCCUAAGGUGGGAGUCUGUUCCUUGUCUGUCCCCAGCACCCAGCUCAGUGGCCACCUGGUGUGGGCUCCUGGUACACGUCCAGUGAAGGAGCCGUAGCGAGAAGGGGGCCCAAGAGAAAGGUUACUCGAGGGAACAGGGAAGAAAGAGACGAGAGAAAUGAUCCUGGGAAAUGGGGUUACACUGCCAGGGAAACAGAGGAGAUAGUGGGAGUGCAGACACGGGUGAAGAUCUCCACGUGGUGCAGGCUGGGGGAGCCAGUGAGGAGACUGGCCAGUGAGCAGCAGGGCCGGACCCUCUGCACGGCCAUUCGGCCAUUCGCAGACUUUGAGUCCCUGCUGUGUUGCAGGCAGGGGGUGAAAUUAUGUAGAGAGUGUCUCAUUUAACCAUUUCAAGCACCCUGGAAUAAGUAAAAGAUAUUAAUUCCUCCAUGGAGGAACUAUCCCCCAGAGCUAUUUUAAGGAUGACAAAAGUGGAGAUUUGUGAAGUUAAAUUAUGUGAUCAGGGUCAGCCAGCUAGCAAGGAGUGGAGCUGUGAUUCAUGGGUCUGUCUGGCUCUAGGGUCUGGGGACUCACUGCCCUCCUGUCCCCAGUCCUUUAUGCAGCUAGGCCCAGAGCUGGCUCAGUGUUUGUCAAAGGAGGUCAAGUGUGUCCUGUCGGUCACCGUGGUGAACGGCGCAGCAGGCCUGCCUCUCAGUAUUCUUCUCCCUUAAUAGUUUGGCGUCCGGUAAUUGACAUUCGCGAGGCGCUCUGCAGCGAUCUGUACAGAGACAGCCCUGUAGUAGGAAACCAAAUCGAGAGGGUCAGAAUGUCCCCCUAGAGAGGGCGCAGAGGACCUGGUUCCCGUGGGCGAAGCUGAAGGCGCACUGGCCGUG